AUGAACAAAGCUAGUGGAGGUGAUGGAAUUCCAGUUGAGCUGUUUCGAAUCCUGAAAGAUGAUGGUGUGAAAGUGCUGUGCUCAAUAUGCCAGCAAAUUUGGAAAACUCAGCAGUGGCCACAGGACUGGAAAAGGUCAGUUUUCAUUCCAAUUCCAAAGAAAGGCAAUGCCAAAGAAUGCUCCAACUACCGCACAACUGCACUCAUCUCACAUGCUAGUAAAGUAAUGCUCAAAAUUCUCCAAGCCAAGCUUCAGCAAUACGUGAACCGUGAACUUCCAGAUGUUCAACCUGGGUUUAGAAAAGGCAGAGGAACCAGAAAUCAAAUUGCCAACAUCCACUGGAUCACGGAAAAAGCAAGAGAGUUCCAGAAAAACAUCUAUUUCUGCUUUAUUGACUAUGCCAAAGCCUUUGACUGUGUGGAUCACAAUAAACUGUGGAAAAUUCUGAGAGAAAUGGGAAUACCAGACCACCUGACCUGUCUCUUGAGAAACCUAUAUGCAGGUCAGGAAGCAAUAGUUAGAACUGGACAUGGAACAACAGACUGGUUCCAAAGAGGAAAAGGAGUACGUCAAGGCUGUAUAUUGUCACCCUGGUUAUUUAACUUCUAUGCAGAGCACAUCAUGAGAAAUGCUGGACUGGAAGAAGUACAAGCUGGAAUCAAGAUUGCCGGGAGAAAUAUCAAGAACCUCAGAUAUGCAGAUGACACCACCCUUAUGGCAGAAAGUGAAGAGGAACUACAAAGCCUCUUGAUGAAAGUGAAAGAGGAGAGUGAAAAAGUUGGCUUAAAGCUCAACAUUCAGGAAACGAAGAUCAUGGCAUCCGCUCCCAUCACUUCAUGGGAAAUAGAUGGGGAAACAGUGGAAAUAGUGUCAGACUUUAUUUUGGGGGGCUCCAAAAUCACUGUAGAUGGUGAUUGCAGCCAUGAAAUUAAAAGACGCUUACUCCUUGGAAGGAAAGUUAUGACCAACCUAGAUAGCAUAUUCAAAAGCAGAGACGUUACUUUGCCAACAAAGGUCCAUCUAGUCAAGGCUAUGGUUUUUCCUGUGGUCAUGUAUGGAUGUGAGAGUUGGACUGUGAAGAAGGCUGAGUGCCGAGGAAUUGAUGCUUUUGAACUUUGA
rnacentral:lncRNA from 1 species